GAAGCACACUAAAAGUUUCAGGAUAGCACUAUUCUGAAGCAGCAGAAAGAAGUAGCAUUGGCAGAAUGGGCUCCUUUGACCACAAACUGACCUCUCAUCACUGAAUUUACACAAACUCUUCUUGAACCUUUUGAUAUUUCCCUCUUGAACAACUUCCUGGAUGAAAGAAUCCCAUCUACUUUAUACCCACAAGGAGAAGAUUUGGCUGGCUCUAGGUAUCAGUGUCCACUGGAUUUCCUGGGAGCCACAUCUACUGCAGAACAACAAGAGCAUUGACAAAGCCUCUGCC